UGUUGAUGCCAAUACUAUACAUGUCAUAUAUGAAUUUGUAACUUUUUACCUGUUUUGAAAAUUGUAUAUUUCAUAUAACAAUUUUUUAUUUCAUUAUUCAUGUAUGUGUGUCUGUUUGAUAUUUUGUAAUUGUUUGUUAUAUUUCAUUGUAUUUCAUGAGGGCCUCAGGGAAGAUUAGCUUUACAGCUAACUGUGUAACCCUCUUUAAAUAAAGAAUUAUUAUUAUUAUUAUUAUUAUUAUACACAAGUUAAUAUCCUAAAAGUAGAAAAAUGCUUGUUCUGGCUUACUUCCGGGCCCCUUUUUCCAAAACCAUUGGGAUCAUCAUCCCCAAUAUCAAUCCCAACCUUAAUUUUGUAGUUUUUAAAUUUCAUAGCAAUCCAUUCACAUAAACUAAAGUUAUUGUUUGAACAUCAAAUGUGUCUUCUGACGAUGCAGGCGACAUCAUU
rnacentral:lncRNA from 1 species